rnacentral:rRNA from 1 species
GGCAGACGGGAGAGUAACACGUGGGAACGUACCCUUCGGUUCGGAAUAACCCAGGGAAACUUGGGCUAAUACCGGAUACGUCCGUAAGGAGAAAGAUUUAUCGCCGAGGGAUCGGCCGCGUCGAUUAGCUAGUUGGUGAGGUAAUGGCUCACCAAGGCGACGAUCGGUAGCUGGUCUGAGAGGAUGAUCAGCCUCACUGGGCACUGAGCACACGGUCCAAACUCCAUACGGGAGGCAGCAGUGGGGAAUAUUGGACAAUGGGCGCAAGCCUGAUCCAGCCAUGCCGCGUGGGUGAUGAAGGGCUUAGGGUUGUAAAGCCCUUUCGGCGGGGAAGAUUAUGCACGGUACCCGCAGAAGGAAAGCCCCGGUUUACUUCGUGCCAGCGGCCGGGG